CUGGAGGUAUCAGAAGUGCGAAUGCUGACAUAAGUAACGAUAAAGCGGGUGAAAAGCCCGCUCGCCGGAAGACCAAGGGUUCCUGUCCAACGUUAAUCGGGGCAGGGUGAGUCGACCCCUAAGGCGAGGCCGAAAGGCGUAGUCGAUGGGAAACAGGUUAAUAUUCCUGUACUUGGUGUUACUGCGAAGGGGGGACGGAGAAGGCUAUGUUGGCCGGGCGACGGUUGUCCCGGUUUAAGCGUGUAGGCUGGUUUUCCAGGCAAAUCCGGAAAAUCAAGGCUGAGGCGUGAUGACGAGGCACUACGGUGCUGAAGCAACAAAUGCCCUGCUUCCAGGAAAAGCCUCUAAGCAUCAGGUAACAUCAAAUCGUACCCCAAACCGACACAGGUGGUCAGGUAGAGAAUACCAAGGCGCUUGAGAGAACUCGGGUGAAGGAACUAGGCAAAAUGGUGCCGUAACUUCGGGAGAAGGCACGCUGAUAUGUAGGUGAAGCGACUUGCUCGUGGAGCUG
rnacentral:rRNA from 1 species